AUUGAAAUGCCUGAAAAAGGAUUACUAUGAUAAUGUAAAUUAUAUAUUUUAAUAAUAUUUUCAAUU
rnacentral:tRNA from 1 species